rnacentral:lncRNA from 1 species
GACACUUUCGGGCCUUUGAACUGUUCCGCCGCAGUGGGCUGCAGAUGAAACGACACCAAAGAAGAGAUGAGUUGACACCUCCUGCAAACAGCUCCCCAGGCUGCUCUCCUUUAUGUUUUGCCCUAAAGUCUCACAUGACUUAAAAAAAAAAAAAAAAAAGCCAGGCUUGGUGGCUUACACCUGUAAUCUAAACACUUCGGGAGUCCGAGGCAAGAAGAUCACUUGAGCCCAGGAGUUCAAGACCAGCCCGAGCAACAUAGUAAAACCCUAUCUCUACAAAAAAAAAAAAAAAAAAAAAAAAAAAUUGGCCGGGCAUGGUAGUGCACAACUGUAGUCCCAGCUACUCAGGAGGCUGAGGCAGGAGAAUCACCUGAGCCUGGGGAGGUGGAGGUUGCAGUGAGCCAAGAUCUCACCAUCACACUCCAGCCUGGGCGACGGAGUGUGGCCCCAAAAAAUAAAAAAUAGGAG